GAACUUAAGCAUAUCAAUAAGCGGAGGAAAAGAAACUAACAAGGAUUCCCUCAGUAACUGCGAGUGAAGUGGGAAAAGCUCAAAUUUGAAAUCUGGCAGCUCUCUCAGGUUGUCCGAGUUGUAAUCUAGAGAAGUGUUACCUGUGUUGGACCGUGUAAAAGUCUUCUGGAAUGGAGCAUCAUAGAGGGUGAGAAUCCCGUCUUUGACAUGGACUACCAGCAUGCCAAGGUGCACUCUCAAAGAGUCGAGUUGUUUGGGAAUGCAGCUCAAAAUGGGUGGUAAAUGCCAUCUAAAGCUAAAUAUUGGCGAGAGACCGAUAGCGAACAAGUACCGUGAGGGAAAGAUGAAAAGAACUUUGGAAAGAGAGUUAAACAGUACGUGAAAUUGCUGAAAGGGAAACGCUUAAAGUCAGUCGCAUUAGCUGGAAAUCAGGCUUGCUUUUGCAAGGUGCACUUUCUAGUUGAUGGGUCAGCAUCAAUUUUGAUCGUUGGAUAAAGUCAUUGGGAAUGUGGCAUCUUUGGAUGUGUUAUAGCCCAGUGUUGAAUACAGCGGUCAGGAUUGAGGAAUUCAGCAUGCCUCUAGGGGCCAGGUUUCGACCAUGUUCAUGCUUAGGAUGCUGGCAUAAUGGCUUUAAUCGACCCGUCUUGAAACACGGACCAAGGAGUCUAACAUGCCUGCGAGUGUUUGGGUGAAAAACCCAUACGCACAAUGAAAGUGAAAGUUGAGAUCCUUAGGGAGCAUUGGCGCCCGGACCAGACCUUCUGUGACGGAUCCGCGGUAGAGCAUGUAUGUUGGGACCCGAAA
rnacentral:rRNA from 1 species